rnacentral:rRNA from 1 species
UACGUAGGGGGCAAGCGUUAUCCGGAUUUACUGGGUGUAAAGGGAGCGUAGACGGUUACGCAAGUCUGGAGUGAAACGUAUGAGCUCAACUCAUGCAUGGCUCUGGAAACUGGAGGACUGGAGAGCAGGAGAGGGCGGUGGAACUCCAUGUGUAGCGGUAAAAUGCGUAGAUAUAUGGAAGAACACCAGUGGCGAAGGCGGCCGCCUGGCCUGUUGCUGACGCUGAGGCACGAAAGCGUGGGGAGCAAAUAGG